rnacentral:tRNA from 1 species
GCUGAUGUCGCUUAAUGGUAAAGCGCCACAGUUGUUUCCGUUUCAACGUGGAGAAGGCGGUUCGAUUCCGUCCGUCAGCA